UACGAAGGGAGCUAGCGUUGUUCGGAAUCACUGUGCGUAAAGCGCACGUAGGCGGAUGUGUCAGUCAGGGGUGAAAUCCCGGAGCUCAACUUCGGAACUGCCUUUGAUACAGCACGUCUUGAGUCCGAUAGAGGUGGGUGGAAUUCCUAGUGUAGAGGUGAAAUUCGUAGAUAUUAGGAAGAACACCGGUGGCGAAGGCGGCCCACUGGAUCGGUACUGACGCUGAGGUGCGAAAGCGUGGGGAGCAAACAGG
rnacentral:rRNA from 1 species